AUGUUUGUGGACACCGCCAUUCUGUUUUAUAUUAAUUGUGGUUGUUUUGUUGCAUUUUUUGUUCAUUAAUGUGAAUUGGUGCUGUUUACCGGUCUGGUUGGGUGUAUGUAAGCGCAAGGCCAGAAGGAAGGUUGGAGAAAGGAUCUGGCAAUUCUUAACGAGAAAUAUUCGAUAGCUGAUGAUAUUGUCACUAACAAAAACAAUUACUUCGAAAGAUUCUGUGCAGAGGCAGGAUUGAAUUGUUUAGAAUAUGCGUGAUGUUGAUAGUUUUACUCAGGUGUAGUGAGCGAUGUCUGUAAAAUUUAUUCUUUGAAUAAAAAAUCUGAUUGAUAAAUAUUAUUGUCGAAAAAUUAUAGAUAAGUCAUUUGUUGCUUUGUAUAUUAAAGGUACAUCUUUGUAGUCUAGGGCACCUCUUUUUUUUUGAAUAAAUAAAAUGAUUAGCAUUGUAGAUGAACUGUUGAAAUUAUGAUGUUAUACGACAUUGCUUUUUUUUGUUUUAUUUUUUUUUUCUAGAGUGUAUGUGAUAUUGCUUUAUUGGUAGUUUUACUCUGCUGUAGUAAAUGGUGUUUAUUAAAUUAGUAGUACAUUUGAUUUUAUUAUUACUUUUUCCUGAAAAAACUAUACAUAAGAUUUUUUUCUGCUACAUAUUGAGCAGACACACCUUCAUAGUUCUGCGGGCUUUGUAUUUUUUAAAAUAAAUGAAAUGGAUAGUAUAUUUCCUUUUUGAUUUUGAAAAACCAAAAUGGUUUUAUAGUUUUAACUAUAGAAUUUAUUCUAUUAUAGGUGAUGUCUGCUAAAGAAUAACUAUGGUUCUCAAUGAAAAUAAUAGGGUCAUAGAAAGAAUAGAUUAUUAACGCCUACUUAACAAAGUACGGUUGAUUAGUCAUUUGUGAUUGCUUUCUCCCCUCCUUUUCUUUUAUGGACGAAGCUAAUCUGUAUGCUUUUUUGAAUGAAGCUAAUCAGUAUUUAUAAACAAAAACAUUGCAAAAAGAACUUAACAGAAAAGAAAAAAUUGCAGAUUAUAUACAGGUUCAAUAUAUUUAUGUGCUAUUAUUUUGAACGUGAUGAUUUAGCUCCUUAGGUAGCCUGGUCUUUUAUGCUAAAAAAAUAGUUUAAUAAUGUAUAGCCUUUUUUUUU
rnacentral:lncRNA from 1 species